UGCUACUACUACUAGUAGUAGUACUUUAUGGCAUGUCAUCAGUGCCACGAUCCUCAAAACUGAAAGCCACGGCCUCUCCUCUGCUCUAGACCUGGCCCCCUGGUUUUACAGCCCUCUCCCAUCAUCAUUUGGAAUCGGAAUCCUGUUUGUGUGUCUGUCGAUUGCUUGUUCCCGUGAUCUUCCUCCGUCCUAGCCUAGGCCCCCUCAUCGCAGGUCAAUAACACCCGGUCAUCCUCCAAGUAUCUUGUCACCUGGCUCAUCCUUUCCAGGUUCUUGCUUGCCGCACAGCCCCCUAUUAAUGCUUCCUCCUGUCAAUCUCAUGCUCAAAUCCGCCUUUCUCCCCCCGUCUGGUUGCCGCUUGCUUGUUUUCGAAGCUGUUCCGAUUGGCUAUGUUGAUGCAAGAGUUUUCAUCUUGAUUGACUUGAGGUGUUCUUGAUUGGGCAGCCUUGCUCUGUUCGUCGCUUGGCUUUUCUUUUCGCAGGGUUGGCGCUAGUUCUUGAUUGGUGGGAAAGAAACGCUCGUAUUAAUUCCCGGCCAGUUUUUGAUCGGUUCUUGUUCCAAAGGUCGGCAAGGAAUCCCAAGCUCCUGCCAUCGACCGGCUCCCUAUCCGACCAAGCUAGCGAGCGGGCGUGCGACCGGAAUAAAUGGGGGUCGCCGGCGGCAGCGGCUGCGUGGCCAAGGCGGCGGCGGUGGCGGUGGUGGUGCUGUGCAUGGCUCGGUGGUCGGCCGGUGGCAUGGGCGUGAACUGGGGCACGCAGCUGAGCCACCCGCUGCCGGCGAGCACGGUGGUGCGGCUGCUCAAGGACAACGGCUUCGACCGGGUGAAGCUGUUCGACGCCGAGGACGGCAUCCUGGGCGCGCUCAAGGGGUCGGGGAUCCAGGUGAUGGUCGGCAUCCCCAACGACAUGCUCUCCGACCUCGCCGGCAGCACCAAGGCCGCCGAGCGCUGGGUCACGGCCAACGUCUCCAAGCACGUCAACGACGGCGUCGACAUAAGGUUGGUGGCCGUCGGGAACGAGCCGUUCCUGCAGACGUUCAACGGCACGUACCUGAACACGACGUUCCCGGCGAUGCAGAACAUCCAGGCGGCGCUGAUGGCGGCCGGGCUGGGCGGCCAGGUGAAGGUGACGGUGGCGCUGAACGCCGACGUCUACCAGUCGGCGACGGGGAAGCCGUCGGACGGCGACUUCCGUGCGGACAUCCACGGGCUCAUGCUCGACAUCGUGCAGUUCCUGGCGUCCAGCGGCGCGCCGUUCGUGGCCAACGUGUACCCGUUCAUCAGCCUGUACGCGGACCCCAACUUCCCGCUGGACUACGCCUUCUUCCAGGGCUCCACCUCGCCGGUGGUGGACGGCGGCGUGAUGUACCAGAACACCUUCGACGCCAACCACGACACGCUGGUGGCGGCGCUGCGCAGGAACGGGUUCCCCAACGUGACCGUCGUGGUCGGCGAGGUCGGCUGGCCCACGGACGGCGACGCCAACGCCAACCCGGCGUACGCGCAGCGGUUCAACCAGGGCCUCCUGGACCACGUCGCCUCCGGGAAGGGCACGCCGCUGACGCCGGGCGCCCCCGUCGACGCCUACCUCUUCAGCCUGGUCGACGAGGACAGGAAGAGCAUCCAGCCGGGCAACUUCGAGCGCCACUGGGGCAUCUUCUUCUACGACGGGAAGCCCAAGUACCAGCUCAGCCUCCGCGGCAACGGCGGCGGCAUGCUCGUGCCGGCGAGGGGCGUCGAGUACCUCCAGAGGCGGUGGUGCGUGCUCAAGCCCGGCGCCGACCUCGGCGACCAGAAGGUCGGCGACAGCGUCAGCUACGCCUGCGGCAGCGCCGACUGCACCAGCCUCGGGUACAAGACGUCGUGCGGCGGCCUCGACGCCAAGGGCAACGUGUCGUACGCGUUCAACAGCUACUACCAGACCGAGGACCAGGACGACCGGGCCUGCGACUUCCGCGGACUCGCCACCACCACCACCGUCGACCCCUCUACCGGGACGUGCCGGUUCAUCGUCGGGAUCGCCCCGACCAGCGCGGCGACGAGGAACGUCGCCGCCAGGGCAGCGGCCGUCCUCUUCGCGGUGUUGCUCGCGGGCGUGUUCUGAGUUCAGGAUCGUGGUCGAUGCUUUAUUAGUUUAGCUGUCAAUCUUUCAGCUUUUCCUUUUUCUUGGCAGAAAUAGUUGUUCAUCUUGAUUGUCAUUCGUGAGUAGGGUGUGAGCCGUAUCCGGUGGAGUUAUUGCAUCUUUCUUUCUUUUUUGCCACCUUGGACAUGCUAAGAAAAUGCAAUGAGAAAUACAUGGUUUAGUAGCACUGCAC
rnacentral:rRNA from 1 species